GACGAACGCUGGCGGCGUGCCUAACACAUGCAAGUCGAACGGGAGCAAGUGCUUCGGUAUUUGCUUUAGUGGCGAACGGGUGAGUAACGCGUGAAUAACCUGCCUUUCAGUGGGGGACAACAGUCGGAAACGACUGCUAAUACCGCAUAAGCACACAGUACCGCAUGGUACAGUGUGAAAAACUCCGGUGGUAUGAGAUGGACCUGCGUCUGAUUAGAUAGUUGGCGGGGUAACGGCCCACCAAGUCGACGAUCAGUAGCCGGACUGAGAGGUUGAUCGGCCACAUUGGGACUGAGACACGGCCCAG
rnacentral:rRNA from 1 species